rnacentral:rRNA from 1 species
UACGUAGGGUGCAAGCGUUGUCCGGAACUAUUGGGCGUAAAGAGCUCGUAGGCGGUCUGUCACGUCGGCUGUGAAAACCCGAGGCUCAACCUCGGGCCUGCAGUCGAUACGGGCAAACUAGAGUGUUGCAGGGGAGACUGGAAUUCCUGGUGUAGCGGUGAAAUGCGCAGAUAUCAGGAGGAACACCGGUGGCGAAGGCGGGUCUCUGGGCAACAACUGACGCUGAGGAGCGAAAGCGUGGGGAGCGAACAGG